UCAUACUGGGCCUGUUACCUUCAUAG
rnacentral:piRNA from 1 species